rnacentral:miRNA from 4 species
AAUCAUACAUGGUUGACCUUUUU